CCAAUGAUACCUGUAGAGAGAAAAGCUCACGGAUUUCGGUAGGAAAUAGCAUUAAACCACUCGAAAACAUUACCAUAGUCUAAAUGUAAUCAUACUAAUAAGGUUAUUUCCCAACUAGACGUCGAACUUGAGCGUGACAACUGAAGGGAUUCAAUAGUUAUCUGCUACUGAAAACUCCGGUGAGUGAGCACACUUAGUCACUGCUAGUCAUUAGUAGCAUCAUGCUAGCGAACUAUUAGCAUUAUGCUAGCGAACCUGGGAAAGAACCAUAGACUGUAUAUAUAAAUGGACGAAGCGUCCGUGACGUCACCCAUUGGUUUCUGCAGAGGGUGAAUGAGGCUAGUAGGAGGCGUUCCUCCUGCGCCAUCUUGCCGGUGCUGACUCCUCCUCGUUCCUCGCUAACCAAUCAAUGGGCAAGGACGAGCAGCGUGACUGCUGACUCACAGCUUAGCGACGGCAGACGAGCUCUAGUUUCCUGGUUAGCUCAGGCUACGGCUAACUGGCUACUCGCGACAUGCUAACGGCGGAGCUAACGGCUAGCCGAGACAUGCUAACCGGCGGAGCUAACGGCUAGCACUGUGCUGUGACCGGAUGGUGGCAAACUUUACCAUGAACGAGCAGGUACAAACCCAGCACUGCAGCCCCUGAUGUCCUCAGCAUUCACUGUGGCAGCAGCAACAUGGUGGAGAUCUGCAGCCUCAGGCUGGUCAACACGAGGACAACUGCACCAGCUUCAUGUUUCCUUACCUUAACUAAAGAUGGCCUGCACCUGUUUAGAGUUGGCUCAUUGCUAAGUGUCAUGGAUAAUGGAGUUCAUAUCUAUAUUCAUUAUGGUUGGAUAAAAAAAUGAACACUUAUUAGAACAAUGUUUAUCUUUUUCUUUCUGAUUUGAUACACUUUAGAUAAGAACCCAGUGUUUUAUUUUUCUUCUCUGCCAUUAGAGACAGAACACGGUCAGCACAGCUGUGUCCUUCAAGCUCGUCCGUCCCUAAUAAAAUGAUAGGAAACAAAAAAGUAUGGCAUUAUUGUCGAGGAAGUGAUACUUAUGAACAAAGUUUGUGUCCUUAUUUUCUAUGGAUAUUCAACUAUGUAUUUGAAUAUGCUUUUGGAUUAAACUGUGCACUACCAAGAAAAUGAAUGUACAGUAUGGAGCUCAUUCACAUUAAAAGUAUUGCAUAUAUUAUUUAAUACAUUAUGUAUUAUGUGCAAUACUUUGCUUUGACUGUAAGUAAUGAAAACACUAGACGAACAUUCAACACAAAUACAGAUAUGUUAAGUCAUACAUGUGCCAGGUUAACUCCUGAACAACUUUUACAUGGUAAAAAUAAAAAGUUUAUUACUUCAAA